GUUGAAAAGAACUUUGAAGAGAGAGUUCAAGAGUACGUGAAACCGUUCAGGGGUAAACCUGAGAAACCCAAAAGAUCGAAUGGGGAGAUUCAGCGUUCAACGGCCCGUCUGGCUUGCGUGCGACGUCACGAUGUCGCGGUGUUAUGCGCCCUCGCCGGUGUGUAUAUACCGUGACACGUCGUCGCUGCGUCAUGACCGGCGCCGUCGGCGUGCACUUCUCCCCUAGUAGAACGUCGCGACCCGUUGUGCGUCGGCCAAAGGCUCGAAGGGUAGACUAUCGCGCUCUCUCCCCGGAGGGCGCGGCAGACCCUCGAAGGCCCGGCCCGACUGCUCGACGGUAUUCGAAUAUCACAAGGUGUGUAAUCGAGAGCCGCAUUUGAAUGCGUUCGGCGCGUCGGUCGGCUUCGGCUCGUUCGGUUAUUUUACGGACCUGGAUGCCGUUACUGGGCGCUUGCCGAGGCUUUUUGUACCGACGACGAUCUCGAACCGGCUCUGCGCGCGCGAAAGCGUUCGCGCUCUCGCGCGCUCACCUGUCGGCGACGCUUUUGCUUUGGGUACUUUC
rnacentral:rRNA from 1 species